CAGGGAGACAACAAAAUGUUUAAUAUUAUUAUUUUGUCACCUUAGGUCGAUCGGUAUCUCACGUUUUUAAUUUAUUAAGAAUUUCAUUUCCUAAGUUUUUCUAGGUCACACCCAUUAUUUUUCCUGGGCCAUUAGCUCAGGUGGUUAGAGCGCACCCCUGAUAAGGGUGAGGUCCCUGGUUCAAGUCCAGGAUGGCCCAUAUCUCUAUGUUGGGGGUAUAGCUCAGUUGGUAGAGCGCCUGCUUUGCAAGCAGGAUGUCAGCGGUUCGAGUCCGCUUACCUCCACUGAUCACCACCUCUUCCAUAAUCGGUAGAAAGGAAAUUUUUUGAGUUGUGAUCAAAUUCUGAAAGAAUCUAGCUUCCUAAUGAAAUCAUUAAGAUGCUGGACUCAUUGAAUUAAUUUUCAUUGUUUUCAGAGAACCUUGACAACUGCAUAGAUUAUUUUUAAAGACAAUAAGCAUCUUUAAUGAUGCAGAUUUAUUAUUUGUGCAAAUGCAUUAAUAACAAUUCUAUUAAGCUGAUGCUUCAAAAUUUGAAGUUAUU
rnacentral:tRNA from 1 species